UACGAAGGGGGCUAGCGUUGCUCGGAAUCACUGGGCGUAAAGGGCGCGUAGGCGGCGUUUUUAAGUCGGGCGUGAAAUCCCUAGGCUCAACCUAGGAACUGCACUCGAAACUACCAUUCUUGAGUGUCGGAGAGGAAAGCGGAAUUCCUGGUGUAGAGGUGAAAUUCGUAGAUAUCAGGAGGAACACCCGUGGCGAAGGCGGCUCUCUGGGACGGUACUGACACUGAGACGCGAAAGCGUGGGGAGCGAACAGG
rnacentral:rRNA from 1 species